GCCAGAGUGGAUCGUUCGGGCCCCCCGACUCCCGGCACAGCAGGAGUCGGGGAGGUUGGCUCAAGAGGUGGCCCGUGCUCCGGAGGAGACACCGAGGGGUGGCUGUGCUGGAUCUGCUGCUGCUUCCGUGCAGACAGGGACUCACGGCUUUCAUGGCUCUGCCUGAGGAACCCAAGCGUUGACCUUGCUUGGCUGGUUGCUCCCAGCCCGUGUGGCCUUUCCCCAGCAAUGCAGCUCUGGCUUUGGAGGGACCUGGCACCUUGCCCUCAAGCGCAGCCAAGACCUCAGCCUUGCUUGGAGCUGCUUGUGGCCCCAAGAUUGCAAAGAGAAGCGUUUAUGGAGGGCUUUAAAAGGAGAGUUGGGUACUGCGUUUUGGGUCCCGUCUGGAAUAUAAACCCAGGAAUGUCCUCAGCAGCGAGUGGUUCUGAGCCGGGCACGCUUUUCCUAAAAUGGUUUAUGACAGAGAAGCUGCGAAUCCCGCUUGUUCUGCCCCGCCGUGCCAGGAGCGUGAGCUUCCUCCGGCUGCUCGUGCCUGAUGCUUUCAAAGACCAAAGGUGUCGCCGUGGUUCAUCCCUGGUAGCAUCCGUGCGAGAUUCACCCCUCGGGCGGGAGCUCUGCCGGGGCGGAGAGGAGGAUGUCGUCUCCGAAAGGAGCUUUUUACCGGGGCCGCGGUGGGACGAGGCGGCCGCACGCUUCUCCCAGCAGCUCGUGGCUCGCACGCGGCAGCCCCGCGAACGAGGCGCCUUGCGGAGCGGCUCCGGUUUUGCCUGUGUGUGA
rnacentral:lncRNA from 1 species